rnacentral:rRNA from 1 species
GACAUAGGUGGCGAACGUUAUCCGGAUUUAUUGGGCGUAAAGGAUGCGUAGAUGGUAGAGCAAGUUGUUAGUCAAGGUCAAGCUCAACUUGAAUGAGUCUAGCAAUACUACUCUACUCGAGGGCAAGAGAAGUUAACGGAAUUCGAUGUGGAGCGGUGAAAUGCAUUGAUAUAUCGAGGAACACCAAUAACGGCGAAGGCAGUUAACUAUUUUGUUUCUGACAUUGAGGCAUGAAAGCUGGGGGAGCAAAAAGG